UACGAAGGGGGCUAGCGUUGCUCGGAAUCACUGGGCGUAAAGGGUGCGUAGGCGGGUCUUUAAGUCAGGGGUGAAAUCCUGGAGCUCAACUCCAGAACUGCCUUUGAUACUGAGAAGCUUGAGUCCGGAAGAGGUGAGUGGAACUCCGAGUGUAGAGGUGAAAUUCGUAGAUAUUCGGAAGAACACCAGUGGCGAAGGCGGCUCACUGGUCCGGUACUGACGCUGAGGUGCGAAAGCGUGGGGAGCAAACAGG
rnacentral:rRNA from 1 species